CGUUUGAUUGCACGAAAUUUUCCAUGGAACUUGGAAUUCGAAUUCCAACUUCCACUUUUGGCCUGUUUGAUUGACAAAAUUUUCCAGGGAAUUGAUUUUCCAUGAAUUUCUAGGUACAACACCUUAAAGCGUGAUUUUCCACCUUUUUUUUCUAGGGGAUAGGUGGUUUUUGGUUUUCCACCUUUUUUUUUAUUUUUUUUUUGCUUUUUUU
rnacentral:lncRNA from 1 species